UUAAGCAUAUCAAUAAGCGGAGGAAAAGAAACCAACAGGGAUUGCCCUAGUAACGGCGAGUGAAGCGGCAAAAGCUCAAAUUUGAAAUCUGGCUUCGGCCCGAGUUGUAAUUUGUAGAGGAUGUUUCGGGCACCGCCCCGGCGUAAGUCCCUUGGAACAGGGCGUCAUAGAGGGUGAGAAUCCCGUCUGGCGUCGUGGUAGGGCCCAUGUGAAACUCCUUCGACGAGUCGAGUUGUUUGGGAAUGCAGCUCAAAAUGGGUGGUAAAUUUCAUCUAAAGCUAAAUACUGGCCAGAGACCGAUAGCGCACAAGUAGAGUGAUCGAAAGAUGAAAAGCACUUUGAAAAGAGAGUUAAACAGUAUGUGAAAUUGUUGAAAGGGAAGCGCUUACAACCAGACUUGAGCCCGUCGGUUCCCCCUCGCUUCUGCGUGGGCUACUCCGGCGGGUCCAGGCCAACAUCGGUUCGGGUGGCUGGUCAAAGGCCCCGGGAAUGUACCUCACCUUCGGGUUAGGCUUAUAGCCCGGGGUGUCAUGCGGCCUACCUGGACCGAGGAACGCGCUUCGGCUCGGAUGUUGGCGUAAUGGUUGUCAGCGACCCGUCUUGAAACACGGACCAAGGAGUCGAAGAGCUAUGCGAGUGUUUGGGUGUCAAACCCGUACGCGUAAUGAAAGUGAACGGAGGUAGGAAGCUUCGGCUGCACUAUCGACCGAUCCUGAUGUUCUCGGAUGGAUUUGAGUAAGAGCAUAACUCUCCGGACCCGAAAGAUGGUGAACUAUGCCUGAAUAGGGUGAAGCCAGAGGAAACUCUGGUGGAGGCUCGCAGCGGUUCUGACGUGCAAAUCGAUCGUCAAAUUUGGGUAUAGGGGCGAAAGACUAAUCGAACCAUCUGGUAGCUGGUUCCUGCCGAAGUUUCCCUCAGGAUAGCAGUAACGUUUUCAGUUUUAUGAGGUAAAGCGAAUGAUUAGAGGCCUUGGGGUUGAAACAACCUUAACCUAUUCUCAAACUUUAAAUAUGUAAGAAGUCCUUGUUACUUAGUUGAACGUGGACAUUUGAAUGUAUCGUUACUAGUGGRCCAUUUUUGGUAAGCAGAACUGGCGAUGCGGGAUGAACCGAACGUGAGGUUAAGGUGCCGGACUGCACGCUCAUCAGACACCACAAAAGGUGUCAAUGCAUCUAGACAGCCGGACGGUGGCCAUGGAAGUCGGAAUCCGCUUAGGAGUGUGUAACAACUCACCGGCCGAAUGCAUUGGCCCUGAAAAUGG
rnacentral:rRNA from 1 species